rnacentral:ncRNA from 21 species
UUAAUCAUGCCAGAUACAAGUUCCCGAUCGGGGAUUAAAAGAGAAACCGGUGCGAAUCCGGUACGAUCCCGUCACUGUAAUAGGGAGUUGUCCGCAAAAUGUCACUGAGGCGCAGCCUUGGGAAGGCGUGGACAUACAAAGAACUUAAGUCAGGAGACCUGCUUGUAUUUUUGUUUUAAGU